rnacentral:rRNA from 1 species
AUUGUAAACUGUAGAAGUGUUUUCCAGACACGCCUGGUAAAAAAGUCCUUUGGAACAGGGCAUCAUAGAGGGUGAGAAUCCCGUCUUUGGCCAGAGCUGUUGUCUUUUGUGAUACAUUUUCAAAGAGUCAGGUUGUUUGGGAAUGCAGCCUAAAUUGGGUGGUAAAUCUCACCUAAAGCUAAAUAUUUGCGAGAGACCGAUAGCGAACAAGUACCGUGAGGGAAAGAUGAAAAGAACUUUGAAAAGAGAGUUAAACAGUAUGUGAAAUUGUUAAAAGGGAACCGUUUGGAGCCAGACUGGCUUGACUGUAAUCAAUCUAGGCUUCGGCCUGGAUGCACUUGCGGUUUAUGCCUGCCAACGACAAUUUUUUUUGAGGGAAAAAACUAUUAGGAAUGUGGCCCCUCUCGGGGGGUGUUAUAGCCUUUUAGAAAAUACCUUGAAUUGGAUUGAGGAACGCAGUGAAUGCCUUUAGGCAAGAUUGCUGGGCGCUUUCGCUAAUAAAUGCUAGAAUUUCUGCUUCGGGUGGUGCUAGUGUUUAAAGGAGAAACUCGUCUGGUAUAUU